UACGGAGGGUGCGAGCGUUGUCCGGAAUCAUUGGGCGUAAAGAGCUCGUAGGCGGUUUGUUGCGUCGGCUGUGAAAUCCCGAGGCUCAACCUCGGGUCUGCAGUCGAUACGAGCAAACUAGAGUGUUGCAGGGGAGACUGGAAUUCCUGGUGUAGCGGUGAAAUGCGCAGAUAUCAGGAGGAACACCGGUGGCGAAGGCGGCACUCUGGGCCGAUACUGACACUGAGGAGCGAAAGCGUGGGGAGCGAACAGG
rnacentral:rRNA from 1 species